CACGAAUCCGUUAUACUCCCGACGUGAGCAUAACUUCGUAGCAGUUUCGGCGUUGCUCGAAUUCCCUGAUAUGCUCUCGCAGUUAAUUGCUUCGGUAGAAUUUGCCAGGCGGCUGUAUGUUAUAAAAUUUAUUAGGGGGCACGGUAACCAGCGGCGGAUUCCUGUCCGGUAAUAAUUUUACCCACUUGACAAGAGAAACAGGUCUGCGUUUGACGUGGUUUUGCGGAGUGUACGCACUGAAAUAAAAUGGCAUAUCAUCGUUCGCGAUGUCGGGCAACGUUUACACAACAUGUGCAACUGCGCUCCGCCAUUCAUACGUAGUUGUUGCACACCGGUUCCGUCACUACGUACCUUGUCCGAGGGUUUUCGGGGGACGGGGGAAACGGAGUAAAUACACCGCACCGCAAUAUACUUGUACCCGGUCUGAUAUGAUGCAGUUUUACAUUUCGGUAAACCAUGCGUACAGCACGAUACGUUCGCGCGCGUGUGUGCGAAAUGACU